rnacentral:tRNA from 1 species
GGGGGUGGCGGAACAGGUAGACGCGCUAGGUUGAGGGCCUAGUGGCUUACGGGCUGUGGGAGUUCAAGUCUCCCCCUCCG